CGAUGGCAUUGAUCACCUGGGACAGGUGAGGGACAGGUGAGAAUGACACAGGUAAUCCUGCUCGAUGGCAUUGAUCACCUGGCACAGGUGAGACAGAGAAUGACACAGGUAAUCCUGCUCGAUGGCAUUGAUCACCUGGCACAGGUGAGACAGGUGAGAGAAUGACACAGGUAAUCCUGCUCGAUGGCAUUGAUCACCUGGCACAGGUGAGACAGGUGAGAGAAUGACACAGGUAAUCCUGCUCGAUGGCAUUGAUCACCUGGGACAGGUGAGACAGAGAAUGACACAGGUAAUCCUGCUCGAUGGCAUUGAUCACCUGGCACAGGUG